rnacentral:rRNA from 1 species
UUGACCUCGGAUCAGGUAGGGCUACCCGCUGACUUUCGCAUAUCAAUAAGCGGAGGA